GUGAGGAAUUUUCCGCAAUGGGCGAAAGCCUGACGGAGCAAUGCCGCGUGAAGGAUGAAGGCCUAUGGGUUGUAAACUUCUUUUCUCAGAAAAGAAUUAUGACGGUAUCUGAGGAAUAAGCAUCGGCUAACUCUGUGCCAGCAGCCGCGGUAAGACAGAGGAUGCAAGCGUUAUCCGGAAUGAUUGGGCGUAAAGCGUCUGUAGGUUGUUUACAAAGUAUUCUGUCAAAGAUUAGGGCUUAACCCUAGAUAGGCAGAAUAAACUUUUAAGCUAGAAUUUGGUAGAGGCAGAGGGAAUUCCCGGUGGAGCGGUGAAAUGCGUAGAUAGCGGGAGGAACAACAAAGGCGAAGGCACUCUGCUGGGCCAAUACUAACACUGAGAGACGAAAGCGAGGGAAGCAAAUGAGAUUAGAUACCCGAGUAGUCC
rnacentral:rRNA from 1 species